AAUCUAAAAAAGCAAAUUAGAUAAUUGAAUUAUGUCAUUUGAUUUUAAAAAGAAAAGAAACGUUUUGAAAUUAUUGAAUUUGGUGUCAUUUUUCAUGCUUGUGCUCUCAUUUUUCUAGGUCUAAACAUUUAGUCAACAUUCAAUUUUGUAUUUAAAAAUUGAAAGAACAGUAUUGUAAAAAAAGAACUUUUAUACCAUUUCCAUGUUUUUUUUUACAUUUUCUUUUAAUGUUUUAUGAUUAUUUCUGUCCCACAAACAAAUGGAUUUAGAUCUUUUUUAACUGCAUGUUUUCAGCAGUUUCUCCAUAAAUGCCUUCAUCAAACAUCAUCACUGCGUUCUUUGCUUUGUUUUAGAAAUUGUCUCCAGUGGAAACAGACGCGGAAAACGUCACUGAACCGGAGCGGGAAAAUGAUCCCCAGCCUCCGAAAAAAAAAACAGAAAAAACUUGGAGGUGCAGCCAAUAGCAGAGCAGAAAGCGGGGCUUCCCGCUCAACUGUCCGCCCCGCAGAGGUAUUUAUGCGGGAGGAGGCAGCAGGUGCAGCAGUUCACUGCAUCACAGGGUCAGCAUGACAGGAGAAUUGAAGAUGCAGCAGAAAAACUGGAUGCAGAGAACUCCAGAAAAAAGGAGAUUUGCUUCCUUUGAGGCUGAAUAUUCCACUAAUUUGAAGCAUUGGGCGACACCUGCGGCUUCAGAAUCACAUGUGACUCAUUUGUGUCUUCAUUGGAGCUCUCUGGCUUUGAAGAAAAAUGUUAACACUUUCAAAAAAUCCUUUUGCUUGUAAAAAUUUUGCUUAAUUUCUUUCAGGUAUUUUAAGUUUUUUCAUCUAUAUUUAGAUUUCUAACAUGCA